AUUGAACGCUGGCGGCAGGCCUAACACAUGCAAGUCGAACGGUAACAGGAAGAAGCUUGCUUCUUUGCUGACGAGUGGCGGACGGGUGAGUAAUGUCUGGGAAACUGCCUGAUGGAGGGGGAUAACUACUGGAAACGGUAGCUAAUACCGCAUAACGUCGCAAGACCAAAGAGGGGGACCUUCGGGCCUCUUGCCAUCGGAUGUGCCCAGAUGGGAUUAGCUAGUAGGUGGGGUAACGGCUCACCUAGGCGACGAUCCCUAGCUGGUCUGAGAGGAUGACCAGCCACACUGGAACUGAGACACGGUCCAGACUCCUACGGGAGGCAGCAGUGGGGAAUAUUGCGCAAAGGGCGCAAGCCUGAUGCAGCCAUGCCGCGUGUAUGAAGAAGGCCUUCGGGUUGUAAAGUACUUUCAGCGGGGAGGAAGGGAGUAAAGUUAAUACCUUUGCUCAUUGACGUUACCCGCAGAAGAAGCACCGGCUAACUCCGUG
rnacentral:rRNA from 1 species